AACUCUCUUUUCUCUACUGCUCUGGCUCCAAGGUACUAGAGAUUGAGGUAUAUGUGUGUGAAACGUGUGUCUGUUGAUUUCAUGGUAUAAACUGUGAUUUAUUUUGAGUUAAGAGGCUACUAGGGCUAACUUUCUCAUUUUGAUUCAACUGACUAUAGCGCCAGGUAUUAUUAUCUUUGACCUGUAAAUGGCAGAAUGGGAACACAGAAACUUGUUAUUUCAGUCAUUUUAUUCAAUAUAAUGAAUAGAUUCUGUCUAAAACUGCAGUUGGGUUUACAGUUAUUCAUUGCUUAUGAAAAAAGCAGAUACAUGUUCACAGAAAGGAGCAGAGGAGAUGGCUUCUCAAUAUACUGCCAGUAAAGAAAAAAUGGAUCAUAGAAUUCACAGCUUAUGCCACUUGUACCUGAAAAUGUUUUAUGGAGUGGACUGUACAAAGUUUGCACAUUGUCCCACCUGAAAGGUCCUAAUUAUUAUGUGGACUAAAAGUUGAUUAAAAACAACUAGUACUGGAUUGGAUUUAUGACUCGAUGUCCUUUUUUUACAUCAAGUAAUUGAAAGUAACUAAGUAACUUUUACUCAAAUAAAUUAUAAAUUAAGUACUUUUUUACUUUUACUCAAGUAGAUUUUUAGAUAGGUACUUUUGCUUUUACUUGAGUAGAAUUUAAGCAAAGUAAAGAUACUUUUACUUAAUUCCAAUUUUUCAGUACUU